rnacentral:rRNA from 1 species
UUUGACCUCAGAUCAGGCAGGACUACCCGCUGAACUUAAGCAUAUCAAUAAGCGGAGGAAAAGAAACUAACAAGGAUUCCCUUAGUAACGGCGAGUGAAGAGGGAAGAGCUCAAAUUUGAAAUCUGGCGGCCUACGGUCGUCCGAGUUGUAAUCUAGAGAAGUGUUUUCCUUACUGGACCGUGUACAAGUCCUUUGGAACAAGGCGUCAUAGAGGGUGAGAAUCCCGUCUACGACACGGACUCCCAGUAUUUUGUGAUACACUCUCAACGAGUCGAGUUGUUUGGGAAUGCAGCUCAAAAUGGGUGGUAAAUUCCAUCUAAAGCUAAAUAUGGGCGAAAGACCGAUAGCGAACAAGUACCGUGAGGGAAAGAUGAAAAGCACUUUGGAAAGAGAGUUAAACAGUACGUGAAAUUGUUGAAAGGGAAACGCUUGAAGUCAGUCGCGUCUUCAGAAACUCAGCCUGGCUUCUGCCUUGCGUACUUUUCUGUGGGACGGGCCAGCAUCAGUUUCGGCCGCCAGAAAAAGGUGGGAGGAAGGUGGCACCUCCGGGUGUGUUAUAGCCUCCUAUCGUAUGUGGCGGCGGGGACUGAGGACCGCAGCACGCCUUUAUGGCCGGGGUUCGCCCACGUAACGUGCUUAGGAUGCUGGCGUAAUGGCUUUAAACGACCCGUCUUGAAACACGGACCAAGGAGUCUAACAUGCCUGCGAGUAUUUGGGUGGCAAACCCAUAUGCGGAAUGAAAGUGAACAGUUGGGACUUCUGUCAUGGAAGGCACCGACGCCCGGACCAGACCUAUUGUGACGGAUCCGAGGUAGAGCAUGUAUGUUGGGACCCGAAAGAUGGUGAACUAUGCCUGAGUAGGGUGAAGCCAGAGGAAACUCUGGUGGAGGCUCGUAGCGAUUCUGACGUGCAAAUCGAUCGUCGAACUUGGGUAUAGGGGCGAAAGACUAAUCGAAC